rnacentral:lncRNA from 1 species
GAUGAUGAUGAAUGAUGAUGACUUUGGAUGUAUUCGGCGAGAUGUAGACCGUGAAAAUGGCGAUUCCAUCGCUUGUAGUCACGGCACACACAUCGCCGCUGUCGACUUGGUC